UUUUUUUACUUUUUUUUUUUUCUAAAAGAAAACUGAAUGUUUAGAAGGCCACAAUUUCAUCUUCUUUCUGGAAUCUAACACCAAGACCAUAACAAUCAAAUUCUCUCUGACACGUGGGAGAAAACAACUGAUUGUUAAUUGUGUUUAAAAUAAAAGGAUUAAAUUAGGUAGAACUAAGGACCUGCUAUCAUAGCUUUAGCCGAAACAUAAAAAAAAAAGAAGAAGAAGACUUUUUCGCCAUAGACAGUGAUAACAAAUUACUUCAUUCAACUAUGUAUUCAAAACAGAAUACACCAUACAUUGCUCUGAUACCAUUGUUAUUUAAUAACGGGACGAGAACAUCGAGUUGUGUACCUUAUUGACGCAGCGAAAAUCGUUAAACUCACCACAAAAAGAAUUGCCCCAAAUCAACCUUUGAAUCACUAGGAAACAACGUUAAUCUUUCACCACUUAGAUGCCCUAAGUUGUGUGUAUUUUUCUUGUAGAAAGGAUUAGUCAGAGAGAAAAUUCCAACGCUUGAAAGUUCUGUGUUUUCUCCUUAACAUAAAUAGGCAGAGUAAUAGCGGUUAAGGAAAAUAACCCACCGCUCCCUUUUUGCAUGUUCACUUUACUGAAAAUUUGUAAUUUAGUGAUAACUUCCUUUAACCUCUCAUAUUUAUCUCUCCUAACCGGGUCGGAUCAGCCCGCAUGGAGCUGCCCACGACCUAUAAUCCAACACUAUCAUACAUACUAAACUAACAUAAAUGUACCCAAGUACUCAAGUGAUGUUGAACAAUGCAAAUGACACUGUUGCUUAUGGUUAAUCCUAUGAUACUUUUAUACAAUAAAGCAAAUGCUAUAACAAAGUGAAGACUAUUAGAGUAGAUCAAAUUCCUAAACAUGAUUAACACAUCUAUUAUUUUAGAACUAACAACUUUUUGUUAAGUUUUAUAUUAUAGUGCAAAUAUAUAUUUUGAAUAAUAUUUAUUUUAUUUUGAAAUUUUAUUUUUAUUAAUAUGAGGGACACACAUAAUGUGAGUAUAUUAAAACUAGUACCAUAUAAGAUAUAUAUUCUUCGUAUAGCUUGAUACACCAGAAAAGCAUUGGAAGCAUCAUGAAAGUUUCCUAAUUGCUAGAGGAAAAAUGAGGAAGAAAUUUGUUGAUAUUUCAAUUGGCCCUAGAAUACAGAUUAUGGAGCCAAAAAACAAAUCAUACAAAGUAAAAACAAUCUCUAAUUCUAUAUUAAGUGAGAGUAUUUUUAGGAGAAAAUUAUGCAUUUAAGAUAGUUUUAGUUGUAAUGACUAUUCCUAAUUUUUACGUUUUAAAAUGAGAUAUUUAAGGGAUAUUAAAGUGGUAUAUAAUCUAAUUAGGAAGUUAAAAAAUUGUAAUAAAUUGUAUAUAGUGCAAUUUUUUAAAAGUGGUUGUAUUUCUUAUAAAUACUCUUUAAGUCUCUGUGUUCAAGGUAAAAUUCUCUUUUAAAAAUUAUUUUAGAAAGUAAUCACUUCUUAUUUAUUUUAUAAAUAACAGAUUUUAUUAUAUACUUAGCAUAUUGUAAAGAUUAUGGGUAUAAUUAAUUAGUCAACAUGAGGCACAAAUCAUGGGAUUUCUUUUAUUUGCACACUCUCUUUCCUCUCAUCUUUUAUCCUAAAUUUUAUCUCAUAAUUCAUCUAAUCUACAUGUUUUUUUAAAAAACAAAAUUCUAUUUUCACUUGACACCAUACUUUCCGAUCAAAUCUUUGGAUUAAGCAUACAAUACUUCUUCGAUCUAAAAUGGGUUUCAACUAGCAGAAACCUCCUCUCCGCCAACUACUUCGAAAUAUCUCUUACCAACUUCAAAUUUUUAAUUUAAUACCAAUUUAACUAUACUUGAUAUAUUUCAAUUAAUAUUAUUGUUAUUAAUAAGAUUAUACAAUAUCAUUAUAUAAGAUUUAUAUUGUAUAGGAUCCACAUAUAUACAGUAUAUUUUUUCUACUAAAUAUAUUCUAUAUUCUUUAGAAUAUACAGGNNNNNNNNNNNNNNNNNNNNNNNNNAUAGUUNUUACUNACUANANAUNUAUAUAUAUAUAUAUAUAUAUAUAUAUAUAUAUAUAUAUAUAUAUUCUCUUACAUUUUUUUUAAACAAAUAGGAUGAUAUUAGUAUUUCAAUAUGCAAUUGUUAACUACAAAAUAUGUCGACGUAUAUGGGAUAUCACAUAUAUUAGUAUAUAAGAUAUAGACUAAAAAAUAAGAUAUAUGUAUCGUAUCAAAUUAUCCAUUCAAAAAUAAGAUAUAUGUAAAACAUAUUUGGAAGAUAAUAUUUUGAGCCAAGAAAUAGGAAAGAAAAGAUUGGAGUUGUUAUACAUGAUUUUCUCCUUGAAUUUAGGAAUCUAUUAUGGUGCUGUUAAUAUUAGUUGCCAUGAUAAAUUCCUAAGGCCAAAUACAUACGCACAGCUAACUUUGCACCAAUUUUCACACACCUCAAUUAAAACUUGUUCCUAUUGAACACUUAACCCAUCAAAAGUGGACCAAUUGCACAUAAAUAUAACAAUCCGAAACCAACACUAGUGACUGAAUCUCACACUCUUUUGAAGGGUCAGACUACACUAAUAAAAAAGUUACAUGUCAGCAACAAAAAGGAGAGAAACAGAAUAAAAAAACUGACCAAAAAAAUAAGAAAGAGAAAGGAGAUGCUCGCCGGGAAAUGGUCACUGGCAGAAAGGAGCUAUGUCUGCUACCUUUAUUUGAAUUGUUUUUUUUUUCUGUUUUGAUUUUAAUCAAAGAUAAGGAAGAAAAUAUCGUAUUUUAAAAAGAGAAGGCAUUGCCGAAUCUGAAGGAGCGUGUUAGCAUCAGCCGGAAGAAGAAGAAGGUGGUGGUUUAUGGUGGUCGUCGGCCGAAUCGGAAAAAGACUCCGUUAUAGGGCUAGUACGCCGAGCAGCUUCGAAUUCUGGUGUGCCGGUGCACAAAGCAAGCACACAAGGACUGCAUAAGUAUUUCACUAUUUCUAAAUGUUCAGUCUAUCGUUUCUCACUUCUUACCAAAAUUACUCAAGUAGGUAUUUAUGAAUUUUAUUAAAAUCAACUGGGUUCUUGUUAACCAGGCAAAUGUUCAUUUAUUUGAGGUAGAAUUAAAUGCCACUUUUGCUCGUAAAGUAUAAAGAAUGGCAGUUAAAACUAGUUUUUUAUUUUCCUAUAUUUUCACCUCUAAUUCUUAACCUUUUCAAUCCAAGAAGACUCACAUGGUAGUACUUUUUGGCUUAUUUUCCUCCGUUAUUUCCUUUUUUAUUAUUGAAAUGCUUUUGAAUAUUUUGAUCUUUUACUAGCAAUAAGUUUACUGCUUUCCUAUUGCUUCAGUAAUGCUUUGGUCUUUUACUAGUAAUAAGUUUGCUGUUUUUCUGUUGCUUCAGUAACGCUUACGUUUAACCUCCAGUUGCUUCAGUGAACUUCAAUUGUUAUAUGCACCUUUACAUAUUUUUACAUUUGUAUUGGCUUGAAGUUACUUAAUUGAUGUUGGGAAGGAAAAAGGAGAAGAAGGGUGAUGGCACCGGUGGGGAGAGAAAAGAAUGAGUUUUUAAAAGGGAAAUAAAAAGAUGAAAACUAAUUCACGCGCUCAACAAAGGUAAGAAAUACUUCUUUUGCCAUCUAGCAUAUGGUGUUCAAUUGGUCCACUCUGAAGUGUUCGAACAAGUUUUAGUUGAGGUGUCUAAGUAAAAAUUGGUGCCAAGUUUAAGAAGCUGCACAUGUAUUUGGCCAAUUCCUAACAACCGAGAAUGAUAUUAACUUACUGCCAUUUUUGUUAAUUAUGGUCUACUGCUAUGAUUGUAUUAAUUUUUUUAAAUAGUGCCUACUUAUGAUUUUCCACUGGACGUAGAAAUUUUAUAGAACACCCACUUUAUACAAUAGUAUUUAACUUGUUGUCACAAUUUACAAAAUAUUUUGCAACCGUAGCCGCUUUGCUUUAACAAAAAUUUAAUAAGACAUUUUACCCUUAAAACCUAUCCAGGAAGAAGAAAACCAUAUAGACAUCCAUUACCAAAAGAGAUAGAGGGUGUUUGGCUAAGCUUAUAAGCUGGUCAAACUGGCUUAUAAACACCUUUUGACUUAUCUACGCGUUAGGUAAACACUAAAAGUGUUUAUAAGCCAAGUGCUUAUAAGCUAAAAUCAACCAUAAGUCAUAAGCUGGUCACCCCCAACUUAUGGCUUUUCAGCUUAUAAGAAUUUUUAAUUUGACCAACAUUUUUACUAGUUUAUCCUUAAUAAUAUUUUCUAAUUCACAAAAUGCUUUUCCCAAAAUAAAUUUCUUGACUUUCUCUUUAUUCCAUAUUCGUUAUUAAUUCUUUUCUUUACAAAAAAAAUAAAAAUUAUAAUCUUCUGAAAAACAUUCAAGGGUAUUUAGUCAUUUUAACAAAAGAAUAGCUUAUCAGCACUUUUUAAUCAAACACAUCAACUGCUUAUUAUCAGUUUCAACACUUCUAUCCAAACACGUAAAUGCUUAAUUUAAAAAUCAGUUUCAGCACUUAAAAAAACUUUUUAGCACUAUAAGCUGAUCAGCUAUUUACAAUCAGCUAAUUCAAACGGGCUCAUAAUCACGAAAUACAAAAUUUUCAUUCACAUACUUCGGUAUCUAUAAAUUCGCUAGAUAUCAAACUAUGCUAUCUUUGUGGUAAAAGAAAUCCGCGAUAAAGAAUUGCGAGAAUAUUUUUUUUUUCUUUCACGAUAACUUGUUGAAGAAACUUUUAAAUUUAGGAGUGUUUAAUUUAGGGGAUAUUGCUUUAAUAGGAGAAUUUUCUGAUUUCUCGUUGUUGCUUCUAAGACUUGGGAAUAAUCAAUUUUAUGGGUUGAUUUUAGAGAGCUAUAGCACGAAAUGGUUACAUUAGAAGAACUGGAUCUUAGUAGCCAUGGAUUUUGGCAAAUCGAUAUCAGUUUUUUGCGUAUUUGCAUUUCAAGCCCAACUUCAGAUAAUUUUCAAGCUUAACUUCAUAUCCAAAUGUCUGAAGUUGAAAACUUCGAAUCCUAAUUAACUUCAAAUCCAAAUGUUUGAAGUUGAAAACUUUGAAUCCUAAUUAAAUUCAGAUCCCAAAUGCUUAAAGUUGGAAAUUUCCAAAUGUCUGAAAUCGGGAAUUUCCAAGCCCAACUUUAUGCAUAAAUUCUGAAGUUGGCGUAGCAGUGCAAAAUAGCUUUAUUUCUAAUACAACUUGUACAAUAGUUUCAUUCCUUAAUCUUCAUUUUCUUAGGGGUCGUUUGGUAGGUGCAUAAGAAUAGUACUGAAUAGAGUGUAUUAGUAAUAUGAAAAUUAGCAAUAUUGAGAUUAAUUAUGCUGAUAUUAGUUAUGCUAAAAUUAUUUCUUAUUGACGGUUUGAUUUGGUGUAUUAAAGAUUUUGAAAGGAUAGUUCUAUCUUUAUACAUACUUAUCCAUGCAAUAAAAAAAUAUGGUAUUGCUAAUAUCAUGAUUUGUUAGGUAUAAGAAUAGUACUGAAUAGAGUGUAUAACUAAUACAAGUAUUAAAGUUGUAAAACACUACCAAACAAGAGAUUAAUAAUAUCAAAAUUAAUACAUGUAUUAUUUUUCUUAAUGCAUCCUACCAAACGACCCACUGGUGUUAUCUACUAGGACUAAUUGAUCAAGAAAUAAAACUCAUCAUUGAGAAUUAUAUUGGAUAUCUCAAAGUUCUGAUGUAUUAUUUCCGAAGUUGUAUCUUUUUUUUCUUGCUUUUUUAUUUCAUGGUUGAAGAAUGGUGAAUAUUGAUGGUGAUUUUUAUAUGGUGACAAAGUGGUAUAUUAGUAAUGAUAUGAUGGUGGAGGUGUGGUGUAGAAGCUGCAAUUAUCGUUAAAUAGAUUUCACGAGCCCUAGGGGUAUUUUGUCCCAAUGCUAGUUACUCAGUGCAAACUGGAUAUAGGUUAAAUAAUUUUUAAAAGCUAAAUAUAGGUUAAACUGUACUGAUAAUCUCGGGUAUUUGUGCAAUUCCUACCCAUUUUGGACUUAUUUCAAGAAAAUUAUAGCAAACUUUCUGCCUAGCAAUCAAUAGAUAUCGUAUUUUGACCAUACUGCACUUCCAAAUUAGAAAAACAUUAUUUAGGACAUCUUUUGAUUAACUUAUUGGGGGUAGCGGUCAUUUGCGUAAUAUUUUUUGAAAUCUUGCAAAAAUUAAUUUUUAAGAUCUUUUUAGUAUGAAAAUUUGAUGCCUAUAUAACGAGUAUGGGACAAUGGUUUGACAGAAACCAAGAAACUACACUUUGUGGACUUCUAUUUGACCACUAUUUAUAUUUUAACCCGAUUAUGAAAAUUUUAGCUUUUUAAGCUUGAGAUUUUUUUACUCCUAUACACUAUUUAAAAUUUUAUUACGAAAAAUGUCCAUGUAUUGAUAUUUAUCCGACCUAAACACAUUCUAAUUACAAAAUAUAUAUAAUCUACCUUAAAAGGCUUUCAAUCCAUUAUUUGUGCCUUCAAUCAAAGGAUGUAGUUACACUCUUUUCCUUUUUUCUCUCCUCUCUCCCCUCUUCUCUCCAGAUUCUCUCUUUCUCCCCAUAUCUCGAGUAAACGGAGUGCUUUGAAUAAUAACAAAUUUUUCAACUAAAUCUGCUACUCUAACAGACUUUGCUCAAAAUCCUCUUUCUUACUCUUCUUUUUUAUCUUAUUUAUAUACUCUUUAAAGUGUCAAUAGAUGAGCUAACCUCAUAUACUAGUAAUUGUAAUCACUGAAUUGAAUGAUAAUGAAUUGAGAAUUCUUUCCAACUACCCUACCCUUCACUAAGAACAAAUCUAUUGCAGAAAGUUCGAAUACUAUUUUAAGAUUACCCGCUUUACCCUUAAAUCUUAUCCUUUAAUUAAUAAAUAUGAAUAUUAUGAAUUGUUAUUCCAACCGGCAACUACCAUGCCCUUAAUUCUACAAAGGAAUAAAAUCUACUAGAGAAUGCUCAAGGAAAAUUCAAAGUUACCGUAACACCAUGUUCUCUUAUAAUUAAAUUCUUUCAUUUCCUUUGCUAUCUGUUCGUAUGGAUGGGAUAGUAGUGGUCGAUAUGUUAAUUUCAAUGUCGACAAAAUUAUGAUAAACUCGGAGUCAAGUUACGACGCAUUACUUUUAGCCAUUACAGAGCAUUUAUCAAUUGAUAUACAAUUAUAACUUUCAUACAUUAUUUCUAUCCAGUUAUAUACAACUACAAUAUCAUACCACUUAAAUACAAUUUUUAUACAAAUUUUAUACAAUAUGUCUUUUGUAUAUUUUGUAUCUGAUUUAUACAUAGUAAAAAUAAAUUUCAUACAACUAAUUAUAUAUUAUACAACUUAUCUACAACUUAUCUAUAAUUUUCAUACAUUAUUUCUACUUAGUUAUAUACAACUACAAUAUCAUACAACUUAAAUAUAAUUUUUACACAAUAUUGUUCAACUUUCAUAUAAUAGUUAAAUAAAAAAUUUAUAUAAACAAGAGAAUAUAAUUUUUCUAUAAUUUUACUACAAUUUCGUAAGUAUAAUGUAUGUCAUGUCGUCAUCUUCUUCUUCUUCUUCUUCUUCUUCUUCUUCUUUGAGUUUCAAUCUGAAAUUCAGCCAAAAUUAAGUCUAAUCUUCACCAAAACACCCUCAAAAUUGAUAUAUAAACUCCAAACCAUAUUCCAAUUGUUUGCAACAACACCCAAUCCAAAUAAAUAAUAAUUUUUGAAAACCCAAAUUCGAAUUCAAAAUUUUAAAACUUUUUAAUGGUUGUCAAUGGUAGAAUUGCUGCUAUCUUUUCCUUUACUUUACAUUACUGGAAUUAGGGAUUGAGAGAUAGAGAGAGGUGUAGAGAGAAUUCCCAAUUGUUUGCAACAACACCCAAUUCAAACAAAUAAUAUUUUUUGAAAAUCCAAAUUCAAAUUCAAAGCUUUAAAACUUUUUAAUAGCUGUCAAUGGUGGAAUUACUGCUCUAUUUUCCUUUGCUCUGCAUUACUGGAAUUAGGGAUUGAAAGAUAGAGAGACGUAGAGAGAGAGAGAGAGAGAGAGAGAGAGAGAG
rnacentral:lncRNA from 1 species